AUCCAGACUCCUACGGGAGGCAGCAGUGGGGAAUAUUGCACAAUGGGGGGAACCCUGAUGCAGCGACGCCGCGUGAGUGAAGAAGUAUUUCGGUAUGUAAAGCCCUGUCAGCAGGGAAGAAAAUGACGGUACCUGAAGAAGAAGCCCCGGCUAACUACGUGCCAGCAGCCGCGGUAAUACGUAGGGGGCAAGCGUUAUCCGGAUUUACUGGGUGUAAAGGGGGCGCAGACGGCGAUGCAAGCCAGGAGUGAAAGCCCGGGGCCCAACCCCGGGACUGCUCUUGGAACUGCGUGGCUAGAGUGCAGGAGGGGCAGGCGGAAUUCCUGGUGUAGCGGUGAAAUGCGUAGAUAUCAGGAGGAACACCGGUGGCGAAGGCGGCCUGCUGGACUGCAACUGACGUUGAGGCCCGAAAGCGUGGGGAGCAAACAGGAUUAGAUACCCCUGUA
rnacentral:rRNA from 1 species